ACUCAAAUGAAUAGACGGGGGCUCACACAAGCGGUGGAGCAUGUGGCUCAAUUCGAAGCAACGCGAAGAACCUUAUCCUGGGUUUGACAUGCACGGAUUAGCUCCUGGAAACAGGAGUGACGCGGGCAACCGUGGAACGUGCACAGGUGCUGCAUGGCUGUCGUCAGCUCGUGCUGUGAAGUGUCGGGUUAAGUCCCUUAACGAGCGCAACCCCUGUCGCUAGUUGCCAUCGCGUCAUGGCGGGGACUCUAGCGAGACUGCCGGCGUCAAGUCGGAGGAAGGUGGGGACGACGUCAAGUCCUCAUGGCCUUUAUGCCCAGGGCUGCACACGUGCUACAAUGGCGGAUACAGAGCGACGCAAUACCGCGAGGUGGAGCAAAUCGUGAAAAUCCGCCCCAGUUCGGAUUGCAGGCUGCAACCCGCCUGCAUGAAGUCGGAAUCGCUAGUAAUCGCGGAUCAGCUACGCCGCGGUGAAUACGUUCCUGAGCCUUGUACACACCGCCCGU
rnacentral:rRNA from 1 species